CCUUACUUAGAUGCUUGUAGUGAAGGCUUCCUUGUUUAACAAAUGAAGCACUGUCACUUUAAGAGCCACACUAGAUCAAAACACGCGGGAACAUAUGCAGCGUGUGAGAAUCAGACCAGAAAGGGUGACAUGCACGUAAAGGAGGGUAGUCGCUGAACUGUGCCCACUGCUUGUCCCAACUUGAUACACCCAUGAUCGUCCUCGUAACCCUGGCGAUAUUCAGGUAAUUGGUAACUAGUUUACCAUGACGCAUGUUAGGUGUUAAUUUUGGACAGAUGAUUAAUUAGUUGAAUGGUAUUUGUAGAGCACAAUAUCUGGAGUGGUUUGGGUUGGAGUUUGAAAUCUACCACUAGUGAGUCGUGUGAACAGCUGUACAGCAGGGGAGAUCAUUUGUGUUUGACCACGUGCUUUGUACACACCCAACACACCGGAACAUAUCGAGUAAGUGUGGCUGCAUCUCAAAACAUUGGGUUGUAAUGAUUAUUUGUUCUGCACUAAGAAGUAUUGUGGCUUGUAAAUAAUGUAUUUUUAUUUCUGUUUUCCUCUUAAGCAAGCCACUGCUGUUGUCUAUUGUGGCGUAACUGUCUGUACUCUGUUAAAUGAUUUUCUUUGAUCUCUUAGACCCCUUUUCGACCUCUUUUAAAAUUCAGUUAACAUCUCAGUCUUUCAUCUUAAUGCUGAACAAUUUUUCAUUGUUCAGUCGGGAAUAAAGCCCACCUAAAAAUUA